rnacentral:rRNA from 1 species
CCUACGGGUGGCAGCAGUGAGGAAUAUUGGUCAAUGGGCGGAAGCCUGCACCAGCCAAGUCGCGUGAGGGAAUAAGGCCCUACGGGUCGUAAACCUCUUUUGCCGGGGAGCAAGGGCGGGGACGUGUCCCGGCCCGGAGAGUCCCCGGAGAAAAAGCCUCGGCUAACUCCGUGCCAGCAGCCGCGGUCAUACGGAGGAUGCGAGGGUUAUCCGGAUUUAUUGGGUUAAAAGGGUGCGUAGGCGGGCGUUUAAGUCAGCGGUAAAAAUUCGGGGCUCACCCCCGUACGGCCUUUGAAACUGGGGGCCUUGAGUGGGCGAGAGGAAGGUGGAAUGCGUGGUGUAGCGGUGAAAUGCAUAGAUAUCACGCAGAACCCCGAUUGCGAAGGCAGCCUUCCGGCGCCCUACUGACGCUGAGGCACGAAAGUGCGGGGAUCGAACAGGAUUAGAUACCCGUGUAGUC